GACGAACGCUGGCGGCGUGCUUAACACAUGCAAGUCGAACGGAAAGGCCCUGCUUUUGUGGGGUGCUCGAGUGGCGAACGGGUGAGUAACACGUGAGUAACCUGCCAUUGACUUUGGGAUAACUUCAGGAAACUGGGGCUAAUACCGGAUAGGAGCUCCUGCUGCAUGGUGGGGGUUGGAAAGUUUCGGCGGUUGGGGAUGGACUCGCGGCUUAUCAGAUUGUUGGUUGGGUAGUGUCUUACCAAGGCUUUGACGGGUAGCAUGCCUGGUAGGGUGACCGGCCACGUUGGGACGGGACUGCGACCCGGCCCAGUCUGGUACGGGAGAGAGGAGAAGAUAGUACUGGAGGCGGAGCGCUAGCGUAGUCCCGCCGUGUGGGGUAUGAGGGCCAUCGGGUUGGAUUGCAAUGUUCUCUGUGCCGAGACGUGAGUGACGGUAAUGGGUGAAGAAGCACCGGCUAACUACGUG
rnacentral:rRNA from 1 species